AGAGUUUGAUCCUGGCUCAGGAUGAACGCUAGCUACAGGCUUAACACAUGCAAGUCGAGGGGCAGCAUUGGAGUAGCAAUACUUCAGAUGGCGACCGGCGCACGGGUGAGUAACACGUAUCCAACCUGCCGCUUACUCGGGGAUAGCCUUUCGAAAGAAAGAUUAAUACCCGAUGGUAUAAAGAGUUCGCAUGUUCUCUUUAUUAAAGAAUUUCGGUAAGCGAUGGGGAUGCGUUCCAUUAGAUAGUUGGCGGGGUAACGGCCCACCAAGUCUACGAUGGAUAGGGGUUCUGAGAGGAAGGUCCCCCACAUUGGAACUGAGACACGGUCCAAACUCCUACGGGAGGCAGCAGUGAGGAAUAUUGGUCAAUGGACGAGAGUCUGAACCAGCCAAGUAGCGUGAAGGAUGACUGCCCUAUGGGUUGUAAACUUCUUUUAUAAGGGAAUAAAGUGAGGGACGUGUCCCUUUUUGUAUGUACCUUAUGAAUAAGGAUCGGCUAACUCCGUGCCAGCAGCCGCGGUAAUACGGAGGAUCCAAGCGUUAUCCGGAUUUAUUGGGUUUAAAGGGAGCGUAGGUUGACAUAUAAGUCAGCUGUGAAAGUUUACGGCUCAACCGUGAAAUUGCAGUUGAUACUGUAUGUCUUGAGUGUACAAGAGGUGGGCGGAAUUCGUGGUGUAGCGGUGAAAUGCUUAGAUAUCACGAAGAACUCCAAUUGCGAAGGCAGCUCACUGGGGUACAACUGACACUGAGGCUCGAAAGUGUGGGUAUCAAACAGGAUUUAAGGGAAAACAAGUUCACACAGUAAACGAUGAAUACUCGCUGUUUGCGAUAUACAGUAAGCGGCCAAGCGAAAGCAUUAAGUAUUCCACCUGGGGAGUACGCCGGCAACGGUGAAACUCAAAGGAAUGGACGG
rnacentral:rRNA from 1 species